rnacentral:rRNA from 1 species
GGCUCAGGACGAACGCUGGCGGCGUGCUUAACACAUGCAAGUCGAACGGAAAGGCCCUGCUUGCAGGGUACUCGAGUGGCGAACGGGUGAGUAACACGUGGGUGAUCUGCCCUGCACUUCGGGAUAAGCCUGGGAAACUGGGUCUAAUACCGGAUAGGAGCCAUUUUUAGUGUGAUGGUUGGAAAGUUUUUUCGGUGUAGGAUGAGCUCGCGGCCUAUCAGCUUGUUGGUGGGGUAAUGGCCUACCAAGGCGGCGACGGGUAGCCGGCCUGAGAGGGUGGACGGCCACAUUGGGACUGAGAUACGGCCCAGACUCCUACGGGAGGCAGCAGUGGGGAAUAUUGCACAAUGGGCGCAAGCCUGAUGCAGCGACGCCGCGUGGGGGAUGACGGCCUUCGGGUUGUAAACUCCUUUCGCUAGGGACGAAGCUUUUUGU